AAAUGUUAGGUUUGAGAGAAAGAUACUGUAUUAUCUGCUUCAUUUAUUUUUUUUUAGAAAUAAAUUUAGAUGGAAAUACAUAUCAAUUAGAAUCCGAACUAAGGACAUCGGAUACCAACCAUCAAGCCCUUUACCACUUUUACUACGGACAGUCGGUAAGAACAAUGGUUGUUUUAUAAAAUUAAACAUUAUAUUAAAAUAAGAGAUUCUAAUUUUGAAUUCCGCGAGGCUCCUAAUAUUAUUUAAUUUCCUCCCAUUUCAUUAGGCACAUGUUUUGGAUCUGUUAAAAAUUUUUGAGUCCACACAUGAUGGAGAGUGUUGAAUCUAAAUUAUAAAAAAAAUUUCAAAUACUACCUCUAUGGUUUCGCAUUUUCUCGCUUUAGUACUAUAUAAUUUAAAAUGUAUUACUUUCGUACUCUAUGAUUUUAUUUUAUUUUUUUAUUAUCUCUUCUGCUAAGUUUUUUCGUUAAAUCAGUGAUUUAAACUUUUGGAGAUAAACGAUUAUUUUAUAUAAUUUAACAUAUUUCAACAGUACUCUAGUU
rnacentral:lncRNA from 1 species